CGCGCACUCGAACGACGACGCGGGACUGAGCCAGGGUCUCUGCGAGUUCCGCGGCCUCACCAAUAAUGGCACUAGCCAGGAAGCGCGUGAGGCCGCGGCGCGUUCGGUGCGGCGGCCGCCGACGUCGUCCGACGUCGCCCGGCCGCCCAGCUGGCGGCGCGGCUGCCGCGGCUCCGUGCGAGCCGUCCGCAGAGGACACGUGCAAUCACAAGCAAACACCUAUUUAGAUUUACAAGCGAGAUGACAAAUUUAUAGCGACUGGCACACAAACAAUAUAAAACGUCCAAACAAACAUUAAUCAUAAUAAUUGUAAUUUAGUUGUUAAGUACUCGUAUGUAGUUGAUCCACCUGUUUUAUUAACAUAGUUAUCAUGUUUAAAAUAUGCUUCAGUGUUGGGUUUUCAAGGGCAGUGUUAUUCGUUCACCAAAACACUUUUCCGUUACUUCUUUAUAUGAUAGGAUAAUACCUUAUAACAAAUAGGACAAUGUAACGUGUGAGAAAAAAAACUUUUUUUAAACUGACAUUGCUACUAGAGUUAUAGCGACAAUAAGUUGAGUUUUUGUAUAUAGUUUUUAAGUUUCGUCACUUUUGCAAAUAAGUUUUUGUUUAGUCUAACAAGAAUUAGUCAGCAAGGCUAGGGUUAAUGUUAACAGUUAGUGAAACCAAUAUUUUUUAAGUGUUUUUUUCUUUUUUCUGAUAGUGUUCUAGUUGUUACAGUGCUUAUGAAAGUUUAUUUUUAUUUUCUUUUUCAAAUUUUUAACAAUAUAUAACUUUGGUUUACUUU